rnacentral:rRNA from 1 species
GAACUGCGAUAAGUAAUGUGAAUUGCAGAUUUUCAGUGAAUCAUCGAAUCUUUGAACGCACCUUGCGCUCCUUGGUACUCCGAGGAGCAUGCCUGUUUGAGUGUCAUUUGAAUUCUCAACCAUGUCUUGAUGAAGUGUCGAGGCAUGGCUUGGAUGAGUGGAGGUUGCUGGCUAACCCAAGUCGGCUCUUCUGAAAAGCAUUAGCAAAGGGAUGACUAGUCUUUGACUUGCAUGAACCUUCUGGCGUGAUAAGUGAUUUGAUCGUCGUCGUUUGUUGAUGCAUACAAAAAGUCUUUGGACGAACAUGUCUUGCUUCUAAUGAGAUAUACAUGCCAUUUAUUGGAGAGGAAGACAUCUGUGCUUUGAAAAAAGUGUGCCAUUGUGAUUAGUUCUUGCCAACUCAUAUUGGGGUUGGUUGGAAUGAAACGCAGUAGGGGGGCGCACUUGUAGUAAAGGAAGUCGGAUUGAUCCUUGAAAAAUGAAUGUCGAGUUGACCAUUUGACCUCAAAUCAGGUAGGACUACCCGCUGAACUUAA